rnacentral:lncRNA from 10 species
GAAGUAGCUGGGAUUACAGGCAUGAGCCACCACACCCGGCUAAUUUUUGUAUUUUUAGUAGAGACAGAGUUUUGCCAUGUUGGCCAGGCUGGUCUCGAACUCCUGACCUCAAGUGAUCCGCCUGCCUCAGCCUCCCAAAGUGCUGGGAUUACAGGCGUGAGUCACCGCGCCCGGCGGAUCUCUGAGGUUUUCUCAUGGUGUAAAAUAGGCACACUAGUGCCUACUUUAUAGGCAUUAAAUGAACCCAUGUUUAUUAACCAGAUUACCUGGCUGGGGUAAACGAUGUAAAUUAUUGGCUUCUACCUUUACG